GUCCUUUAGAGAAUAAUUAAAGGUUUAACCUGCCCACUGAAAUAUUUAAAUGGCCGCAGUAAAUUGACUGUGCAAAGGUAGCAUAAUCAAUAGUUUUUUAAUUAAAAGCUUGAAUGAAUGGUUGGACGAGAUAAAAUCUGUCUUUGAGUAAUAAGUAAAAUUUAAUAUUUAAGUUAAAAAGCUUAAAUUUAAUUAAAAGACGAGAAGACCCUAUAGAUCUUAAUAAUAAAAUAUUUAAUAAUAAAUAGGUAUAAUAUUUAUUUUAAUUAUGAAAUUAUUUUGUUGGGGUAAUAGAAAGAUUAAAUAAAUUCUUUUUAAAUGUUACAAUGAUUAUUGAAUAAAUGAUCCAUUAAUAAUGAUUAUAAGAUUAAGUUACCUUAGGGAUAACAGCGUAAUUUUUUUAAAGAGUUCAUAUCGAUAAAAAAGUUUGCGACCUCGAUGUUGGAUUAAAAAUUAUUCUAGGUGUAGUAGUUUAGAAUUUUGGUCUGUUCGACCAUUAAAUUUUUACA
rnacentral:rRNA from 1 species